AUUGAACGCUGGCGGCAGGCUUAACACAUGCAAGUCGGACGGUAACAGGAGGAAAGCUUGCUUUCUUUGCUGACGAGUGGCGGACGGGUGAGUAAUGCUUGGGAAUCUGUUUUAUGGAGGGGGAUAACUACGGGAAACUGUAGCUAAUACCGCGUAAUAUCGAGAGAUUAAAGUGUGGGACCGUAAGGCCACAUGCCAUAGAGUGAGCCCAAGUGGGAUUAGGUAGUUGGUGGGGUAAAGGCCUACCAAGCCGUCGAUCUCUAGCUGGUCUGAGAGGAUGACCAGCCACACUGGGACUGAGACACGGCCCAGACUCCUACGGGAGGCAGCAGUGGGGAAUAUUGCACAAUGGGCGCAAGCCUGAUGCAGCCAUGCCGCGUGAAUGAAGAAGGCCUUCGGGUUGUAAAGUUCUUUCGGUGGUGAGGAAGGUUGUAAUGUUAAUAGCAUUAUAAUUUGACGUUAGCCACAGAAGAAGCACCGGCUAACUCCGUGCCAGCAGCCGCGGUAAUACGGAGGGUGCGAGCGUUAAUCGGAAUAACUGGGCGUAAAGGGCACGCAGGCGGAUACUUAAGUGAGGUGUGAAAGCCCUGGGCUUUAACCUAGGAAUUGCCUUUCAUACUGGGGUAUCUAGAGUAUUUUAGGAGGGGUAGAAUUCCACGUGUAGCGGUGAAAUGCGUAGAGAUGUGGAGGAAUACCAAGCGAAAGCAGCCCCUUGGGGGAAUACUGACGCUCAUGUGCGAAAGCGUGGGGAGCAAACAGG
rnacentral:rRNA from 1 species